CACGCCUGAGGAGGAGAAGAGAGAAGACUUUUAGAAAAGCAAAAGGAAAGAUCUCUAAGAAAACAGAGACCGAAACAAAAGCCCUCUUGAUGCUCAUGCAGUGAAUAGAAGACGUGGAAACAGAAAGAAAGAGAAAGUCUCAUUUCUGGAUGCUAGAAGCUGGAGGUAAGCAUUCUGAAUUCCCAAACCCAUUUCAUUUUCAUCCUUGGAGUAGCUGUGCUUAGAUGCAGCUGUGGAGUAACGGCCACACGAGGCCUGAUGUUUGAUGAUGUUGUGUGGCUGGAUCUUGCUUUGCCGUUGUUAUUCAGACUGCUGUGGCCGGGGGGCUGGGAGGGAGCUCCCUGGCCCUGGCUUCCUCCCCCACUGACAGACCCCUUUUGCUGACUUUUCAUGUUCCAUGGAAGCUACACUGCAAAGGUGUAAUGGGUGGCACAUCUGUAGGGAGCACAGCAUAGCAAUUACUAGGAUUCCACAUAUCAUGGAGAAUUCCAAAGUGGUGCAUGGAAUAAAAUCCACAAAAUGCCAAUAAAACAUCAUAACGCAUUGACUCGAAUGCGUGAUGAGAGAGGCAUCAUGGAAAGCCUGUGUGAACCAAGUCUUAAGUAAGUGCCAAACACUUUGCAGUGCACAUGCCUAUCUAAUAUCAUUAUAGACAUGUGUGAGAUUCUUUAGAUGUGAUUUCUCCAUUGCAGGGGGUUAAACUAGACUCUACAGUUCUAUGAGAUUGCACUGUAAGUAAAUGCUAAAACAUAGAACAUGAUGGGUUUAGUAUGUAUUUGCUUUUCAGGCUCUUCUCCUUAGCUACCACAACAAGAAGCACAUUUCUGGUAGCAGGCCUGUUAGUGAUCAUUGCCACAGCGGCACAAUUCUCUCCCAUAGGUUUUGGAGUUGAGAAAUGAGCUGCCUUGAUUUGCCUCCAUUAGUUGGCUUUGACCAGAGAUCCCAUUGGGGAAAGUGCUUCUGCCAUAGGCAGCUUGGCCCCGUAUGCCUGAAGGAGCGUUUCCACACCCAUCGUUCAGCCCAGACACUAAGGUCCAGCUCCGAGGGCCUCCUGGCGGUUCCCUCCCUGCGAGAAGUGAAGUUACAGGGAACCAGGCAGAGGGCCUUCUCAGUAGUGGCGCCUGCCCUGUGGAACACCCUCCCAUCAGAUGUCAAGGAGAUAGAUUAUACAACUUUAGAAGACAUCUGAAGGCACCCCUGUAUUGGGAAGUUUUUAAAAAAUAAAUAAAUGAUUUUUUAAAAAUACAUAAAAUACAAUAAGAAUCAAAUUAUUCUACAGAACAAGAAUAUUAAAAAAAAAGAGAGAGAAAAAAGUAAGGAGAGGAAAAAAAAGGGGGGGGGAAUAUCUAUAUGUCCCUUUACCAUACAGUCGUACCUUGGAUUCCGAAUGCCUUUCGAGUCGAAUGUUUUGGCUCCCGAAUGACACAAACCCGGAAGUCAGUGUUCCGGAUUGCGAACAUUCUUUGGAACCUGACCAUCCGGUGAGGCUUCCGUGGCUUCUGAUUGGCUGCAGGAGCUUCCUGCAGCCAAUUGGAAGCCACGCCUUGGUCUCCAAAUGUUUUGGAAGUUGAACAGAGUUCUAGAACGGAUUCCAUUCGACAUCCGAGGUACCACUGUAUUUAUAUCAUAUUUAUCCACAUGCAGAGAAGAAGAGCCUCCCAUCUGCCAGCUUUUAAAAGACACCUGAAGGCAGCCCUGUCUAGGGAUGUUUUAAAUAUUUGAUGCUUUAUUAUGCAUUAAUAUUUUGCUGGAAGCCUCCCAGUGGCUGGGGCAACUCAGUCAGAUGGGUGGAUGAUGAUGAGGCUUUUUAGACAAGUGGUCCAUUGGUCCAUUUAGCUUGGUGUAUGAUCCCAGCCUAAUACCUGCUUGGAGGUGGCAUCUGGAACCAUCACCACGGGAAGAAGUUACCCUCAGCCUUCCUUCCUGCCAGCUUUUCACCAGCCUGAAGGAAGGAGUUUCUGCUUUUCAGGGACAGUUGAAGUAUGUCAGGAAGAGAAGACAAGGAGAUCCUGGAGGAACCAGUCAGCAAGGGGAAGGCAUGCAGUCAGGGCUGGUGUCAGAUGAAGGCACUGUUGGGCACCUGCCAGCAGAGUGGAGGAAGGGCCAUAGCCCAGUGCUUUGUAUACAAAAGGCAGGUGCUGCCUGUCAGUGUAGACAAUACUAAGCUAGAUGGUCAGACCUAUGUAUAAGGCCAUUCCCUAUGUCCCCCUAAUUUUUUUAUGAGGUUCUUCUAAUUCUCUCUUGGUCUUUUCUUUCUCGCUGACCUGGAUUAUCCCAAGAAGUUGCUCCUAUGGGGAACCUCGUAUCACCUCUGCAUUCUUCCGACUCUCUUCUACAAGGAAAUAUUCGACUUCCAGCUGUCGUCUGCAUUCCCUGGAAUUACGGUCAGUAUGGUUUCCCCAGUCAUUUGGAAAGAUAUUGUUUAGCUUUGGUGAAGUAGAACUGGGAAAGAAUAAUAAUUAUUACUGGUGCACUUUUACAGUGAAUCUUGCCACCCUUAUACAACAGAGGAGUGAGUUUUCUUAAUUUUAAAAGAAAUAUUAAAUUGAGUAGCAGUUCACACAAAAUAGGCAGAAGAGGGAAUGAUUCUCCAUGGUGUAUGUGUGUGUGUGUGUGUGUGUGUGUGUGUACGUGCAAAAAUACAUGUGUGGAAUUAAUUAUUUAAUCUUAGAAUUACUGUUAGUUCUUCCUUACAAUAAUGAACACAUUAAAAACUAAGAAAUCCUAGAAUAUUUUGUAGUGCAGGGAUUUGAACGCUGUCCUUCCUGCCCCUUGAUUUAGAUUCCAAAUUCCUAAAUUCCUUCCCCAUUAUAUGCCCAUUCAACGGCUUCAAUCUGCAGAACUGGCAGUGAUACAGAUGACACAUAAUACCAAUUCCACAUUUGUAAGAACAGUUUUGUUUAGACAAGCCCACUCAGAUAAUAUAGGAUGCUUGAAUCUGUUUUUAGUUUAUCAGUGUUUUUAAUUUUUUAGACGUUUUAAAUAGUUGUCUUUAACUGUUUUUACUGUUAAUUUUAUUGUCUUAUUCUUUUUGUGAACUGCUUUGAGGUGCCACCAAAAUCUGUUUGGAUCAGCUUUUCCCCCUCCAGAGAUUUUGGACCACAACUCCCAUCAACCCCCAGCCAACAUGGUUGUGCUGGUUGGAACCAUGGGGCAACAUGGCUGUGCUGCAAGAGGCUGAUGGGAGUUGCAGUCCAAAGCAUCUGGAGGGCAUAGGUUGUGGGGAGGAGGCUAAGCUAGUGGAUGUAGGCACACAGAAGUGAAAUUUUAGAUGAUAAACUCCAUCCUCAGGACUGGGGGGCGGGGAAUCACGCCAGGAUCAGAGGUUGCAACAAGUGGUCUUUCCUCUCCCGCCUCCUGCAAAAGGCCUUGUGUCUCUUUCUAAAGCUGUUGUCCCAAGCAUGUUUUAGGGAGGGGAAAAACACUACUGAAAACAGUGGGGUGCUUGCAGUGGACAUUUGGCUAGGAUUGGAGCGGGUAGCGGUGGUGGGUGUAGUAAAUCCAAUGCAGGAGUCGAUCUGGGGUUGCACAUCAGAGGCUGUUGCAUGAUUCAUAACACAGUCCACAGUUUGCUGAUGCUCAAGAGUCAGAGGUCGAAGUGCCUUUGCUUCAGAUGGGAGGAGCUCUUUAUGCUAAAGACCCCAGCUGAACCCCAACCGAAGAGGCAGUGCAGGCCGGGGUAAAGGUGAAGGUACCCCUGACCAUUAGGUUCAGUCAUGGAUGACUCUGGGGUUGCGCGCUCAUCUCGCUCUAUAGGUCCGCAGACAGUUUUUCCAGGUCAUGUGGCCAGCAUGACUAAGCUGCUUCUGGCGAACCAGAGCAGCACAUGGAAACACCGUUUACCUUCCCGCUGGAGCAGUACCUAUUUAUCUGCUUGCACUUUGAUGUGCUUUCGAACUGCUAGGUUGGCAGAAGCUGGGACCAAACAACAGGAGCUCACCCCGUCGUGGGGAUUCGAACUGCCGACCUUCUGAUCGGCAAGUCCGAGGCUCUGUGGUUUAGACCACAGCACCACCUCUCAGCAAAAUUCGAGGGGCAAAAUUUCCAGGAUCAUCAGGAAAAGCUCCCAAGACAGGGGUGGGGAACAGGGUCUGAAUGCGGCCCUCCAGGCCUCUCCGUCUGGCCCCUGGAACUCUCCCUAGACCACACUCCUUGCUGUUCCCAUUGCAUACAAUUUUUGGGUGCUUCUACCUGGCUGGAAUGUGUUUCCGAGCUGUGAUGAUGUUUGCUUGCCUGAAUGGACAGUAGAGGAGUGUGUGUAGAAACCUCUGGCUUUUGCAUGACUGGGAUGGAGCCUUCUGCACAAAAGACAAGAAUCUCAUCUCUUGCUCUGCCCAUGUUUGCUUCUAGAAGGUUGCCUGCAAAGGACCAGGGGUUCCCCAACCCCUAUCCUAAAUGAAGCCUGGCUUCCCCCACCCCACUCACAUGCACACUUGGGACAUCAGGGUCUGAGCAAUGAUAUGAGUCUCUCUCAGGUUUCCCUGAUGGUGCCCCUCUUCCAGAUUGCUUCAUGCAAUGAAAACUAAGGGCUGUCCACAUCUUGGCUUAAUGUGGAUUGUGAGCCCUUGUGCCUCUUUUAAAUGCCCCUCCUCCAUGGAGGUGUUUUCCUCCAAGUACUGCUGUGCCACACUUUCUCCUCCCUAGAGUCAGAGAUUCCCCAUACUUUGGAGAUCUGAACCGGAGAGCAACUUCAACUGUUCAGGGAAUAGGAGGGGAAAGGGCAGCAGUGGGGGGGAAACCUUCAAAGAGGAAACACAAAAUCUCCCCUGAAAAGGAGAUAUGAAUAAUUUCUCCCUUGGGCGGCAGAAUAAUUUGAGUCCUCCUGUUCCAGAGCCCGUGCUGCUCCUGGAUUCAGCAGGCAGUGGCAAGAUGACCAGGUGCCCAACUUGGGCUGCACUAGGCUGGCAUAUGCCCCAACUGUCCCUGCUAACCUGAGGCUGUUCCUCUUCUGUGGUCCCUGCCCCUGGUAAAUAGUGCCCCAAUCAUGUCUCAGUUUGGCCCUUUGGGGAGAUUUGGGACUGGAAAGUACCUUUCAUUAGGAGUUGCUGUUCUUGAGGUUCAGCCCAUCACCCCUCCUCUCUAAAAGGGGGGGGGACACAAACACGCACCUACACCUAUCUAGAUAGUAAAUGUUGCUGCGUAUUUUCAACUUGCAGCUGCUGUAGAAUGACCGCCUUCAAGAUGCAUUGCAAGAGCGGUUCCAGAAAAGCAGCCAUCUUAAUCUCUUGAGACAAUGCAAAAGAAAAGUGACCAGUCGUACUCGGAAGCUGAUGCUGUAGUAAAUUUGUCAGCCUCCAAGGGGCCACAAGACCCUCUGUUGCUGUGGCAAGACAAACCAAUUCUUCCUUUUAAGAGUGCAAUUAUAGUUAAGCUUACUAGCACCAUGUUCAAGGCUAGGAAGUGAAAUAGGGAGUGGGUAGCAUUCCUUGCGCAAGGACAGUGUUUCCAGUUUCAUCUCUGAAAUGCUGGCGGUGGGGAGUGAGUUUUGCAGUGGAGGGAUUCUGAAAUAACAGGGAACAAAGGCAAAGAACAGGGAAGUUUGGUGUUAGCCCUCUGUCCUCGGUGCUGAAUCUAUUUCCUUAAAGCAAUAUGCCUCUGAAUUCUGGUUGGUGGGAACCACAAGUGGGAGAGCAUCAUAGCUCUCAGGUCCUCCUUGCAGGCCUCCCAUUGGGGCAGCUGGUUGGCGAUUGUAGAAACAGGAUGCUGCACUAGAUUGACGUCCUUUGGCCUGAUCCAGCAGGGCUUUUAAAGCAGUGGUUGGAUGGCCGUCUGUCAUGUAUGCUGUAGUUGAGAUUCCUACCUUGCAGUGGGUAGGACUAGAUGACCCACAGGGUACCUUCCAACUCUGCCAUUCUAUGAUUCUAUUAUUCUUGCAAGUAACAGUGAGAGAGGGCCCUUGGUUCCAUGCCCUGCCUAUGGGCUUCCUGGAGAAAUCUGAUUGGCCACUGUAAGAAUAGGAUGCUGGGCGAGAUGGGCUUCUCGUCUGAUCCAGCAGCCUGGCUCUUAUGUCCUGAUAAGCUAUCAGAAGAGUGCAUUUGUUUUGUAAACAUUGCCAGUGCUUCUCCCCCAAAUUCUAAGUAAGGGACCCCAAAUCUGGUCAAUGAGAGGAAUGAAGCAAGGUGAGCAAAAUCACACAGAGUUUAUUCUGCUUCCCAGAUCCAGGUUUUCAAAUGAUUUGGGGGGUAAUACAAGCAUGGGAAUUUGGAAGAGAGGCAGACAACUCCCCACCCAGCUUCAGCUGCAAAGUCGGUCAGUUUGGUGAUGAAAAGUUGGCUCAGAAGCCCACUUUGCAAGGGGGAAAAAUAUAGAGACAGUCCCAGACAAAGCAUGAGAUGGUUUGUCUCCAAGAGAGUUCUGUAGCCUUAGAAGGAGAGGCCCUUUCUCUGCACAAGGUAUGGAUAAUGUAGUUUUCACUUCUUGUCUUACGUCACACAAGUUGAUGAUCCAUAUGCCACCCCUCAUAAAAGAGUCUGUGGGAGUCAACAUAUACAGUGGUACCUCUAGAUACGAACGGGAUCCGUUCCGGAGCCCCGUUCGCAUCUAGAAGCAAACGUAACUAGUGACAGCACGUCUGCGCAUGCACGCGUCGCUUUUCGCCGCUUCUGCGCAUGCGCGUGACAUCAUUUUGAGCAUCUGCGCAUGCGCAAGCGGCAAAACCCAGAAGUAAUGCGCUCCGUUACUUCCAGGUUGCCACAGAACGCAACUUGAACGCACUCAACUUGAAGCGUAUUCAACCCGAGGUAUGACUAUUUUUAGAUUUUCCAGGUCUGGGCUUUGACUUGGAGACCAUGCUCAGGACUUCAAGAGGGAAACUUGAGAGUUGCCUCCAAGUUUCAAGAGAGCAGAUGUGGCACACGUGGAAAUAAUUGAUGUUUUGAUCAGGACUGCGUUGGCAUUGGGAGCUGGUUUGAGCAUUCCAAUGGCCAGAGCUCAGCACUACCCACUUUGGAGUUAUUCAUCAUGACUCUAGCAGGCAGCGUUCAAAAUGUACAGGCCAGGCCUUGUGGAGUUAGUUUGGGGUACCCAAACACUAAUCUUUCAUCUAUUACUGGGAAAGCUGCGUCUUCAGAAAGCUCAAGUGAUCCGAUUUUUCUCACUAGGAAAAUGCAGUGUAUUUCCACAAUGAAACACAGAAAGCAACUGCAUGUUCUGAAGGCACUGACUGGACUUGAGGUUAAGCCCUCCAAUUGUUUUUGGACUCUAAGUACCUUGAAGACAUCCUUGGACAAACAAGCUUGUGUGUGUGUGUGUGUGUGUGUGUGUGUGUGUGUGUGUUUGCACGUGUGCCAGUAUGAGGCACAAACAUAGCUUAGAAGAGGGGAGAGCUUGCAGGCAAUGCAGGGAUUUUAGGAUUGCUGUCGCACGAUCCCAUUUCAUUGCCCUGAUCAGCAGCUGGGCAGCUGCAUUUUGCACUCACUGCAACCUCUGGGCCAUUUUCAAGCAGAGACACAUUGCAGUAGUCCAGCUGUGAGGGUUGCCAGCCAGGGCAUGGAUCACUGAGGCUAGGCAACCCCCACCCCCUGUGUUGCAUAGUAAGCUCUGCUCUAGUUAUAUUUGACCUGCCUGUGCAGAGAACGGGUAGGAGGAGAACAAUGUGACCCCAGUUUCAGAGCUGAGGGGAAUUAAGGCACUGAAUCACCUGGUGCAAUGGUGGCUUAGUGGUCUAAGCACUGGCUUUGGGCAUUCCUGCAUUCCUUAGACCCGUCAACUGAAAUUCUUCUGGAUCUGCUGCCUCUCUUUAAAUUUUAAGCCCAUGAGAUCAGCCCCAGCACACAAGGGCAACAGAGCAGCUUUGGAUGUUAUGUGAAAGACCACCAGUUGGACGUGUGAGCAACUCCCAGCAACUGGUAUUUCAAGGUAUCCUGUUUCCAACAGGGGAGGGUAGGAUAGUCAUUGUGACUUUCCAAGUUGGCCAAAGGUUGAUGUGAUGUGCUUCAGGAUGACGUGCCAAGUGGAGAAGAGGCCCUUGGCCAGCCCACCCUCUGUGGAUUUAGGGUUAGCUUUUGAUGAACACGGAGCUGAGAAAUGUAAUCAACUAUAGUUUUAGUUGAUUAUUUGAGAUUAUUGAUUAUUUGAGUCAAUUUUUCAGAAACUAGGUCAGCAUUAGUAGCUUGUAUUGGAGCAAGCUCCAAGGACAGGACGUUCUGGGAUCUGCAUGGCAUUGAAUGGAAAUGCUUUUCUCAACAUUUGAGGGGUGGGGGAUAUUUUGUGUGCGCGGUGUGAGUUAAGAGCAGGUAUAUUUAUUUUUGGUUGGACAGUGUUGUCGAAGCUACAAACAUGAGUCUGACCAAACUGCGGGAGGCAGUGGAAGACAGGAGUGCCUGGCGUGCUCUGGACCAUGGGGUCACGAAGAGUCGGACACGACUAAACGACUAAACAACAACAACAUAUUUAUUUAUCUGAAACUAGUUUCCCCCCUCUUCUCCUUUUGGCUCUAGAAAUGUGGGAGGGGAAAAUAAAAAUCUGGGCAGCCAGCUGCCUGAAUUCAUGUCCCUUUGUAUAUCAUCAGCAAAGAUGAUUCAUUGUGGAUCCUACAUCAGUUAAAUCACACAUGUGCAGUUAAGAAGAGGUGAAGCAGUCUUCCGCAACCUUUUUUCUUCCAGAUGUUUUGAACUUCUACUCCCAUCAGCCCCUGGGGCUGUGCUUUCAACAACCCCGGCAUCUUGGUGGCUUGGGCUGAUGGGAAUUGUGGUGCAAAAUAUCUGGGAGGAACCAGAUUAGGAAAGGCUGGUGUAGUGGCAUGGCUGCAAGUGGAGUCUACUACAGUUCGGUUGUUUUCACACAUUCAAGGCCCCAGACGGACAUGUGUGAGAUUUAUUCCCGGAAGAGGUAGAGAAGGCCACCAAUUUAGAUGGCUUUGCAAGCAGGUUAGACAAAUUCAUGGAGGGAUGCCAUGAUGGCUAUAUGCUCCCUCAACUGCUGAUAUUCAGAGGCUUACCACCCCCAACUUCAGGGAGGAAGCGCAAGUGGGGAGCAGGCUCUUAAGCUCAGGUCCUGCUUGGGGGCUCCCCAUUGGGGCAGCUGGCUGGCCACUGUGAGAGCAGGAUACUGGGUCCCCUUUGGCCUGAUCCAGUAGCCAGGCUCUUCUGAUGUUCCUACACUCAAAUUUGACCUUGUGACCUGCCUGAGGCAUCAUCCUGAUUCAUUAUGGCCGUCUCAGCCUGAAGUGGCAAAUAUUGUGGCUUUGGGCGAUCUUAGAGAUACAGUUCUGCUGCCAGAGAUGUCGCCCUGAUUACGCCCUGGCUGUUAUUAGAUGUGAUGUUGGCAGAGCACCUGACAUUGGCCUGGGGGUGUUUUCUGGGGGCCUUAAGCCUGCCUGGAUCCUCCUGGUGAUGAAAAUUCAAGUUGUAGCAUGUCCAGAAACCAUGACUCAGCAGCAUCCCCAGAUCACCCACAAAACUGCAUUUGUUCAGCUUGUAAAGCAAGCAGUUGCAAACAAUAUUUGUUUGCAGAGGGGUAGGAAAUAAGGUGGCUUGUGGAAGCAACUGUUCCAUUGGAAUUCGGGGAGGAGGGGAAGGAACAUUAAAUCAGUUGCUGGCCUCUGAAUCCAGAGAUUUCUAUGAAUCUCAAGCUUAAUUUUUCUCUGCCAUACAAAAGCACAUAUGAAAUUACAUGUAGAAUAAUGCAUAAUAUAGCCUUAUCUAUAGUCUGAAGUACUUCUGGAGUGAUAAAGAAUAUGAUAUAUUGGAUUUUAUGUUAAGUUUAGUGAGAUCCUGAGGGCAGCAGGAUAAGACAGGUCAGAUAUUUUGUAUAAUUUAUUAUUAUUACUUUUAUAGCCCAACCUUCACCAAAUGGUUCCGGGGGGGGGGUGUUUCAAACAGUCCCCCCCCCCAGCUUAUUUCAUUGAUUUUUCACAAAAAAAGCAUUAAAUUGUUGUCCAGUAUCAUAACUUGCGUUACCUAAACAAUACAAGAGUGCCCUUAUUUGGGCUUUGGACAAAUCAGUUACUUAAAUAACCUUUCCAAAUAUUUUUCUGAGUAGUGGGCAAUGGGAACUCGCUUUCAUAGUCAAUGAUGUAAGAAAUUAAUGGAUGCUACUCCAUGCCAAACUUGUCUCUUUUGGAAGUUCCUUGUAGAACCCUUCUGUGGCAGGUGAAACUUUCUGAUAAGGCCACAUCCCACAUAACAUUAAACAGGGCUGUUCUUAAACAGAGGUACCACUGUAGUUCUUUAUGACCCUUAGCACUACUUGAGCUAAGGUCCAGGGCAGGGAAUGCAAGUUCUGGGUUAGGCUGCAAGGAUUGCUUAGGGACAAUAGAAAUAACCGUGAAAACAGGCUUCCCAUGGACAGGGAAGGAUGGAGGAGCUAGGAGAGCCUGCUCAUGCCUUUACUUGGACAACUGUCUUGCCAGAUAGACCAGUUGGGUCCCCAAAUAUCUGGGGAUGCUGCCACCACACACCCUAUUAACCCUUAAAGCCCCCAGGCUGGGUGAAUUCUGGGAGAUGGUCUUCUGCCCCCUCCAGAGCCAGUGUGGUGCAGUGGUUAGAGUGUCAGAUUAGGACCUGGGAGAUGAGGGUUCAAAUCCCCACUUGGCCAUGAAGUUCACAGGGUGACCUUGGGCCGGCCACAGCCUCUCAGCCUAAUAUACCCUCAUUGGGUCAUUGUGAGGAUACAUUGGAGCUGGGGAGAGAAUUUUGUACAUCAGGCAUAGGCCAACUUGGCCCUUCAGAUGUUUUUGAGACUACAAUUCCCAUCAUCCCUGACCACUGGUCCUGUUAGCUAGGGAUGAUGGGAGUUGUAGUCCCAAAACAUCUGGAGGGCUGAGUUUGCCUAUGCCUGUUGUACAUCAUCUCAGGCUCCUCGGAGGGAAAGUGGAGCAUAAGUUAUUGUUGUUAUCAUUGCUUUUAUCUCCAGUAAUGCCCACAUUGAAAGGUCUUCCUGCUUGUGGUGAUAUCAGCGAGGGGCUGGCAGAAAGGCCCCCUUCUUCCCCUUGUCUUCUCCAGCUAGCCGCUGGCCUCUCUCGGAAGUGUGUGGGUGUGCUUGGCUCAUUGAGCUGAAGCACUUGCAUCUGGAAAACCUUGAAAGACGCUUUUGUUGAGACUGCAGGGUUUGGAGAAAGACGUGUGGAUUGCGCUUUGCUAAGGAGCGUGGGUCUUGGGUAAACGCAGCGACUCUCCUCCAUCUCAGCAUUCUGCCUUCGGGAAUGUUAUUGUCUUUUCGCUCUCCCUCCCUUGCUUUCCAAGAGGGCGAUUUAAACAUUACGUUUCUUUUCUAUUUCUUUUCUCCUCUUUCUUGGUGUGACUCUGCAGACUGAUUUCUGCAGAAGUUAAAUUUUAAAACAGCACCGACAACAACAACAACAACCAGGCUAAGUGUAUUAAUUGAGAAGUGGACUCUUUUCCACGUGUCUGAAAUCUUAAAGCUCCGGGGAAACACCUUUUCUUUGUUGUAAAAUGCCCUGUGUUUAUUGAAAAGUGUGCAUAAUAUGAAGUGCAAACUUUAGAAACAGCAAAAGGGCAAAAGCAGCAGCCAUGCAGCAGAACAAUGAAAACCAUAACAUGCAUGGAAUGAAAAUAUUAAAAGUCCUUGCCACCCAAAUGACAACAGGCAAGCACUGCUGGAGAGUCACAGACUUGGACUAGUUAACCGUGAAGGACAACUAGUCCAAACUCCGCUUUCUCAAGAGACACCCCACGCAGCCUCAGCUUAGAGGCCUCCAGCCAGCAAGAGCCUGCCCAGCCCACCCCCUCUGGCUGGGGGGCAGCAUGGGUGUCCGGGCUCCAAUUGUCUUCUGUCUUCCAAAACUACAAGGCCGUGGUGCUUAUCAAGAGGCAGGGGUGCCAACUUGAAUAAAAUAUUGUGGGAGGGGGCAGGCAAGCCCCACCCUGCAUAAUUGAUCACAUGGUGUGGAGCACGCACAAAAUUUGAAUGACAAUGCUCAUCAACUUUUUUGUGGGGUGGGCCCCAUCAAAUAUUUUAUGGGAGGGGGGCAAAGAUCCCUUGGCCCCUAGGAGUUGGCUUCUAUGUCAAGAGGGGAGAGCUGAAGGGGUGCCUAAACAGGAAUAUUUUUAGCAGGUCCUGAAAAGAGUACAGUGAAGGGCGCCAGCUUGAUCUCAAAAGGCAGGGAGUUCCAAAUUUAGGCACUGCCACACUAAACGACUGAGUUCGUAUUUAUUUAUUUAUUUAUUUAUUUAUUUAAAUUCUAUACCACCCUAUACCCGAAGGUCUUACCAAUGCGGAAUGAGUACAGUGGUAUCUCGGGUUAAGGACUUAAUUCGUUCUGGAGGUCCGUUCUUAACCUGAAACUGUUCUUAACCUGAGGUACCACUUUAGCUAAUGGGGCCUCCCGCUGCCGCCGCGCAAUUUCUGUUCUCAUCCUGAGGUAAAGUUCUUAACCCGAGGUACUACUUCCGGGUUAGCGGAGUCUGUAACCUGAAGCGUCUGUAACCCAAGGUACCACUGUAUUAUGUGGCACCUGUAGUGGUGCCAGUUUCACAGAUCAAAGUGGUCGAGCGGAAACAUGUAGGGGAAUGUACAGAGUGGAGUCUGAUUGGCUGGUUUCGUUCCCUUACGCCUGAAGGCAUUGUGAAACCAUCACUGUCUCACAGUGGAACCCUGUUUGUGGGUAUUCAGAUGUAUGUUCCACUGUAUUUGAUGGGGCUUACUCCCAAGUCCAUGUUCAUAGGCACGUGACCCAACUUUCUAUGUGGCAUCAGAUUGGCUGCGUAGACCUGCACAAUCUUAUUUGCAGAAGUCGUUGCCAAAAACGGGAGGGGGGAAAUAAACAUUUCAAAGAGGGAUUGCAAUUUAUUGGGGAUACUUUUAGCUUGAGCUCCAUCCUAAGAUUUCAGGGUGGGGGUGCAACAGUUUUAAAGCCGACAACUGCAAUUAAAAGAGCAGGUUGAAAAAGCUGCAAAUAGUUAAAAUUGCAAUAAACAAAAAUAAAAAUAAAAAGCCAUUUGAGCCACCACCUCUGUAGGAGUAGCAUGCUGGCAUCUCACAAAACCUCUUGCAAAUAGUUAGGUCUUUACUGUUACUUUCCUGCAACGGUUGUCUGUGCUGCGCAACCCCAGUUGGAAUACAGUUUUGGUAUUGUUGAGCUGGGAAAGGUUCAGAAAAGGGCAACCAAAUUGAUCAAGGGGAUGGAGUGACUCCUAUGAGGAAAGAUGACAACACCUGCAGCUUAUUCGAUUAGGGGGAAGAAAGGUGAAUAACAUGACAGUGGUGUGUAAAAGUGUUCCCCACCAUCUCUCAUAGUGGGGGGGGGGGGGGCUUUGAAUCUGCCAUUUUGGGUUUUUCCUGUUUUCUAAUCAGAAUUUCAGCUCUUCACUUUUCCGCAUCAGUUUGUCAAUAUUUUUUUUAAAGUCAUAUUGAAAAUUCAUGAGCGUUUUUGUGUGAAUUUUUUCUAAGAGACACAAGUUUGUGUGCAGUUUUGCCCUGUGCACACACUUUUGUAAAGACAUUUCCCUCAAUAUAAUGCAUGAUAUGUUAUAAUGUGUGUUGUUUACACCAACAUAUGCAUUUUUAUGCACAGCUUACCCCAGUAAGUGUGUUUUUGUACUGGAGAACUGCACUAUAUAAAAUUCAGAGAAGUGUAAAUUUCGAAGGAUGGCUGUUUUCUGGUUCUCUUUAUCAUUUAGGAAAGCAUGAAUUACGUGGGUUCGCCUUUAAAUGUGAACCAAAUUAACUUUCUCUCUCAUCCCUCCUCAUAUUAUCGUAAUCCAGCAGGAUCACCCAAUGAAGCUGAAUAUUGGGAGAUUCGGGGUAGACAAAACGAAGAACUUUUUAAGCACAGCACAUAGUUAAACUAUGGAAUUUGCUUCCUUUGGAUGUAGAGGGAGACACCAAUUUGGAAUAGUUUAGAGGAGGUUCAGACAAAUUCAUAGAGGAUAAGGCUAUCAAUGACUAUUAGCUGCAGUGGCUGUGCUUACUACCCCCAGAAUAAGAGGGUGAUGUGUUUGUUUGUAUUUUAUAAUGACGUUUUUAAAUGUAGGAAUCCCAACUUGGGAGAAAGGUGGGAUAUAAAUACAUUAAAUGAACAAGCAAGCAAACAAAUAUACAAAUUAAUAAAACGAAACUAGUUGGAAAAAACAGUUAAAAAAUCAAAACACAUCUAGAACAAGCAAUUAAAAGAGAGUUUGCCCUGGCAGCAGCCCAGUGGACAGCAUCUUUUGCCCCUUGGUUUCCAAAGGCCUUCAUAAAUGAAAAGGCAUUGGUCUGCCAACAGAAGGAUAACAAAGAAGGAACCCCACAAUAUGGGAGCAGCCACAGCCCCCCCCCAUAUCACUACCACCUGUUGCCCUUAGGAAGCUGGACUAGAUGGGCCUUUGGUCUUAGGAUUUUGGAGCAGCUUUUAAGCAAUUUGGUUUGCCCACUGGCAAAGAUUGGUCCAAAAAACGCUAGUCGACCAUUUCCACUUGGUGGUGGUUGCCUUUGCCAAUUUCCUGCUGAACAUCUCUUUGUCAUGGCGGGACUCACAUUCGAAUCAUCAAUAGCUAGGUAUAAAAUGGGCAUUGGAAGAACCAGCUGUAAUUUCAAGCACUUCAGGUAAACCUGCAGCAAAGAGCUAUUGUUAAACUCAAAAGCUCGUCCCACAGGGAGGCAGUGAUGGUCACCAUUCUGAUAUAUGGUUCUUGCAGAUUUCAUCUCAGUGCCCCUAAAGGAGACAUGAUGUAAAGAGCAGAAGUGGGGGGAGAGAGCGAGAGAGCGCAAGGGAGCUUGGGAACCUGGAAGAAUGAGGGCACUCAUUCGUCAAUUUGUUAAUACCUAAAGGAGCGUCUCCACCCCCAUCAUCCUGAGGUCCAGCGUCAAGUGCCUUCUGGCGGUUCCCUCACUGCGAGAAGUGAGGUUACAGGGAACCAGGCAGAGGGCCUUCUCUGUAGUGGCACCUGCCCUGUGGAACGCCCUCCCUGCAGAUGUCAAGGCAAUAAACAACGAUUUUACUUUUAAAAGACAACUGUUUAGGGAAGUUUUUAAUGUCUGACACUGUGUUGUUUUUAAUAUUCGGUUGGAAGCCACCCAGUGGCUGGGAAAACCCAGCCAGAUGGGUGGGGUAUAAAUAAUAAUAAUAAUAAUAAUAAUAAUAAUAAUAAUAAUAAUUCAAGGCCUUGGGAAAGGCAGACAAAUUCGUUGGAGGAGUGUGCUAUCAACAGCUACUCCCCAUGAUGGUUAUGCUCUGCCUCCAUGGCUGGAAGUAGCAAUGCUAGCUGCUAGAAGCCACAGACGGGGAGAGGGUUCAGGGCCUGCUUGUGGCUUUCCCAUCGGGGCAUCUGGUUGGCCCCUGUGAGAACAGGAUGCUGGACUAGAUGGGCCAUUGCCCUGAUCCAGCAAGCUCUUCUUAUGUUCUUAUUAUCCUGGAGUGGGAACAAUACAUACUUGCCUUUCCUUAUGGGCAGAAACAUUUGUGGCUACAUUUGCCACCCUACCCUCUGUUCAAGGGGACUCUUUAUUUGACGUAAAGAACUGUGGCUGGGUUAUUAGUUAUUUUUGUCCUCCUGGUGAGGAGGAUGAGAGACUGUGCCCCCCUACCCCCGCAAUUGGAAGAGGCUUGAAAUCCUCUCCAGGUGGCAAUGCUAUGCAGCCGCCAGUUUCCCAGCAAGAGCACAUCACUCAUUCAGUUGCACGGUCUUUAAAUCCACCCAGUGCACCAUUAAUCCAGGCAGUGCUGCUCAGGCCGUUUCUGGAAUCCUUAAUCCAGCAGGUGACUGGCGGGGAUAACGGAUUAGCGAUGGCGUUCCGUCCAAGGCUUCAUCCUGCCGGGCUCUUGAGCCCUCCAUGGGUCCUGGGCAGCUGCCUUCUCUACCAAAUGUGGAUGCCAGCCAUGAGAUGAAGAGCGGUGGCUAAAGCCAAGAUGAAAUUGCACAAGAUGUGCAGGGUAUAAACAGGGUGCUUUAUAUGAACAUGAGAAGAGGCCGCUGGAUCAAGCCAAGGGCCCAUCUAAUCCAGCCUCACAGUGGUCAACCAGGGGCCCCCAAGGGAAAAUCAGUGGUGGGAGCACACUGGGUGUGGAAUAAGCUGUCAUGUGAACACACCCUAAACCGUCUAAUCUGGUUAAAAAGAUUUUGAUCAAAUGAAAAGGUGGCCGCAGUGAACUAGGCAGCAGAUUUUAGAGUUGUUUUUUAAUGCAGCUAUUUGUAUUCUCGAAUGCCAUCUCAAGAAGCAUUCCUUUUGUGUUUGAGAGGAUGGGCAAUGCCUCUCAUCUACAGCAACUACCAGUUCAUAUCAGGCUGGAUCCUGGUGCUGAUGUUGAGUUGUAGUCCAAAACACCUGGAAGAGGAAGCAGGUUGGCUAAAGCAAGGACAUCUCAAGAGAUGGCUAGGAUCCUGGUCCACCUUAUCCCUGAUGCCUUGGGAAUUAGCCUAGAGGUUGUUGUGCCAGACCCUUCAUCAUUCCAAAGAAAAAUCAUAUUGCUUCCAAAAAGAUUGUCAAGCUCAGACGAGGGGAAAAAAUGUAGGAGAAGGACGGUAACAAAAUAGUGUCGCUCUAUGUAGAAUCAUAAAAUUGUAGAGUGGGAAAGGGACCCCAUGGAUCAACAAGUCCAACCCACCCCCUGCACAGUUAAAGAAUCACAGCUAAGGAAGCCCUGACAGAUCUCCUUCCAACCUCUGCUGAAAAACCUCCAGUGAAGAAGACUUCCCCACUUUGUGAGGUCAUCCAUUCCACUGUCAAACAGCUCUUGCCCUCAGAAAGUUCUUCCUAAUAUAUAGUCAGAGCCUCUUUUUUUAUCACUGGAAUCCAUCGGUUUCAGGUUCUGAAAACAAGUUUUCUCCAUCUUCCAUGUGACAGUCAUUUGGCUGCUUUUUUGAGGACCAUUGGCAUCUUGGGUUUUAAAUCAAUGGCGGGCAAGCAACUGCAGAACCCAUGAAAUCAGGCAGGGAGGCACAGAAAGAAUUGGGGGCGUCGAGGAUGGAAGGAAUCUGGUCUAAACACUGGAGUGUUCCAAACAGAUCCUGAUUUCCAUCUGCAGAGAUGUUGGAGGCCCUGAGACUCUAGCCUAGUUUAGACAGGACCAAUUAGGCCUCCCAUCACGAUUGUUUGGUUUGUGUGCAGAUUUUAACGGUUAAACUGACGCGGUCAAUGUUUGACCGCCAAGCCGUCGUGUCUUCUUUUGGUUGUGGCUACCAUUUGAAUUUGAGGCUUAAUUUUGCUUUGUCUCUCUCUCUCUCUCUCUUUCUCUCUGCAGAUGCAUUUUAAUUACAGAACUAGCCAAUCCCAGGCCAUCAUUUUGUUUUCCUUGCCACUGCCCGGGUCCGUUAUCAUAUUCCACCUAUGCGCUUGCGCAUGAGUCUCCCUUGGCAAAGCAGACUGCGGUGGGGAGGGGGGUAGAGAAAGAGGCGCUACCGCCUGCCUGGUGUGCCUUCCUAAUGACCAGUCUGUUCCAGAUUGGGAGUGGCAGGAGGAAGGGAGGGUACCUUGUGAGAGGCAAGCGGUGGUGGGAAUGGUUUGUUCAGGAUUUGGGGGGGAUUAGAUAAUUCAUCACAAGAGCAGCAGCAGCAGAACUCACGCCAAAGGCAGACACAAGCUCCUUUCACCACGAUCAUGGUGGAGAGCAAAGGCAUUAACCCCCCCUCUCAUUAGGCAUUCCAAGCCCAUCUCUUCUCCUUUUCUUUUAAUAGUUAAACCUGAUUUGCAUGCAUUUGCAUAAUGAACAUCAUUUGCAUUCCCGGUUUGUUGGCUACCUCUGUGGGAAAAGUCAAAGCGGGCGAUCUGGGGAGAGGGAUUUCAGCAAAGACAAAAGGGAAGAUUUCAGUUACCCCCCUUCGCUUGCUUCCCCCCCCAAACAGUGAAGAAUUUAACACACAACCAGUUCCCCCCUGCCUCUUUGUGGAAGACAGAGAGGCCUGUCAGGAUCAGUGUGUAUCCUAGCAUUUGUUACUGUCUCCCCCAACCACUUCCUGCAAUCCUUCAUCUCCUCCUGAGCUCUUUCCCCCUUCCUUUUGGUUCCUUCUGAGGGUGUGAGGUGAGAGACAACAAACUGUGUGUGAGAGAAAGAAAGGGAAAGAAAGAGAGAAAGAGAGCGAACGAACCACCAUUUUAGGUAGCUGGCAUCUAUAAAAUGGCGGAUCCCUCACAUAGGUCUUGAGCAACAUGACUGGUUAUGUGUCUCAGAUUUUGGUGGAUUUGCACAGUUCAGAACUUACCUCAUGAAUUGUCCAGUGUGGGCCCACAUAUGAGCAACACUACAUGCACCAACUCAAUCUGCUUUUAAAAAGAAGAUUAUUUUGGUGUGGGUUGUUGUGGCUGGACGGUUUCACAAAAUGACACAGGCACAUCCGAUUGUGUGAUUACCAGACAAAGUGACACAAGCUACUAGCCUGAGCAUUCUUGUCUAUUUGCUACACACACACACACACACACACACACACACACACACAUAUAUAUACACACUUUAUAUAUAUAUAUAUUCUUUUUUGAUGUUAGUCUGUAUGUUGCACCUCUUUCGAAAGCAGAGUAGUUCUAGGGGAAGUAGUGCUCAGUUGUUGCUCACCAGAGGAGCGUUUGAAGUUGCCUCAUGGACCUUUGGUCCAUAUCCCUCAGUACAACUUGACACUGACUGGCAGUGGCUCUCUUUGGACCUGCCUGGAGGUGCUAGGGAUUGAAUCUGGGACCUUCCGCGGGCAAAGUAGAUGUUCUACCAAUGAGCCCUGGUUUUCCCCCAGGUGUUUCUGAAAAACAGUAUUUUGUUAUGGGGUAUAAUGGAGUCUUCCUACAGACAAAAAACAAUAAUUAGUUUCUGAGUAGAAGAGGGCAUGUGCUCUCUCCUUCACCCCUAACUCACACAGGGGGAAUGGUUGAAAAGCAAGGCCUAUGAAAUUUCUAGUGAUGGGUGUGGUAACAUUUCUUCUCCCUUGAAAAAGUUUUGGGUCUUAUGCAGCUAAGUCCCACUCAGAACAGACCGACUAAAAUGGAUGGGCUUAAGGUAGUUAUGGUCCUUGAUUUCAGUGCGUCUGUUCUGAGUUAUUUAAAUGCAUUAUUAUUAUUAUUAUUAUUAUUAUUAUUAUUAGCACAUCUUAUCAUCAUUGUCAUAGUGCUCCAAGAAUGAGAUGUUGUGCCUCCUAAAAUUCAUUUUCCUACAUAAUUAUUUAGGGAAUUAUGUCUUCAUCCUUCUCAGCAUGUUGUUCCUAGUUUUAAUGACACAGUAGCACCAUGUAUCAUGUGGUUGAUGUGAAAGACUUUUGGGUGAUGAGGUUGACUAUCUCCAGAGCUCUUCUAUUCUUUUUCUCUCCCCCCCCACCCCUGACCUAUAUAAUCUGACAAUGACAAACCAAUGGAUCACCAUAAAGCCAAACAACAGCAAAAUUUUGAAAAGUUUAGGACUUCAGGGAAGCUAUCACUCCUUGAGAUCAAGUGAAGAAACAAGCCAGCCUAGGAUGUCCAUAAGCUUCCAAAUUCAGCAAUUCACCUGAGAACUGUCCUGUUGAAUCAGGUCAGUGAUGCAUCUCUGCAGCCAUUCUGGUUCUGGCAGUGGCCAGCCAGAUCCAUCUGGGAAGCCCACAAACAAGUCAUGAACAUGACUUCCUCUUCUUUCUUCCCAGCAGCUGUAAACUGGUGGUUCCAUUCAACUCUUGUGACUAGUACAGUAAAGGCAAGGACCAGCCACUUACAAAGCUACCCUAGAAGAGUUGCCUGACUCUUAACUUCAGUCAUUACCUAAAUGUCUGUCGUUAACUAAAACUUCUGUCAUUAGUUGAUUUUUUCCACACACUAAUGCGAGUCUGACUGAUGGACCAUGGGAGCGCUCAGGGUCUCUCUGAGGGAGACAACAACAACAAAUUUAUUAAAUUUGUGAGGUCCAUGCCUUUACACAAAAUACCAUAAAACAUUAUUAAAAGAUAAACCAGAAAGAUUAUAAAAGUAAGCUAAAAUUCAUGCCAUGUUGUCCCAGCAAGGAAACUACCCAAAAAACCCCACCAUUCAAGGAAGAAGGUUCGGCAACAGGUUAGGAGAGCAAUGGGAGGGACCUCACCAUUUCAUCCAGGAACCAUACCCUAGUUUUCAUAGCCUUCACCACAAAGACCGCUACCACGUGAGAAAUCCGUGGAUCAGCGUCUACCAGUAAAAACUUUACUUGGUCCUCUCUGAGGGAGACAGAAUUCACAGCUUGACUCAUGAAACAGCAAGCUGCAGAGUGAAAGAGACCAUGGAAGAAGCAUUGUUGCAUCAGGUUUUAUAGCAUUAGACACAUUAGUGAAGGUCAGAUCUCUCAAUUAUUCGCUUGCUAUUUUAUUUAAUGCAUUUCAUAUCCCUCCAUUUUCUCCAAGAUCAAGGUGACGUACAUGGUGCUCCCCCUCCUAAAUUAACCCCCACAACAACCCUGUGAGGUAGGUUAGGCUAAGAGGUGGUGACUGGCCCAAGGUCACUCAGCGAGCUCCAUGGCUGAGUGGGGAUUUGAACCCUAGUCUCUCAGGCCUGGUCUGACACACUAACCACUAUACCACUCCAAUGCUCAGUGUGUUUGCUGUUAGAAGGCCUUCCUCCAUUACUACAGGUGAACGGGAAAUGUUGCAGCUGAGACCUUAAUCUAAACAUUAUCUAGGCUGGAAGCUAUUUACUGCUUCACCUGUGCUGAUGUGAUGCCCUUUUCCUCAGAAGACUGUGUUGGCCAUGGUGGCAUCUUCUGGAGCAGGGCUAGGCAACCCUUUUUCUCUUGAGAGGUUCAUUCUCUCCAGGAUUAUCUAGUUGAGGGCCACGAGCCAGGAGCAGAAGAAUUCUGGAUUAACUAAUCUGGAAUAAAGAUCACCUGCUUCACUUUUCAUUAUAGCUUACUCAGACUUGAAUUGCCAGUCCUAUGCAAAUCUAUUCAAAAUAAGCCCCCACCAGCCAGGAUGGAGGCACACACACAUAUAUAUCAAGCAGAUGUGGAACUGAGAACUGAAUUUAAGAAUGGCAAAAUGGGGAACUGAAAGAAACCAGCAGUGACAGAUUUGCCCAUCCCUAACACACACACACACACAGAGAGAGAGAGAGAGAGAGAGAGAGAGAGAGAGAGAGGGGGGGGGGGGGAGAAGGAAGGCUAUCAAUUUGUUCUUUAUUUUUUAAAAUCCAUUUCUCUUUAUCAAAUAAAAUAACUAUGCCCUUCCAAAUGUUCUGAAACUACAGGGUGGGGGGAGGCUUAGCUCAGUGGCAGAGCAUCUGCCUUGAAUGCAGAAGUCCCCAAAUUCAGUCCCUGGCAUCUCCAGGUAGGGCUGUGAGAGGUUCCUGCCUGAAACCAUGGAGAGCUGCUGCCAGUCAGUGCAGGGCAUGAGCAGGAAAGAAGGACCUCUGAUGGGACCUUCUGGAGCAGCUUCAGGAGACAUCUGGGUCCAUUUGUGUCCAUAGCACCUUCACACAAGAGAGAUAUUUAUUUUAGUCAGAGCAUUUGCAGCUCACUCUUCAGCCAAAAAGGCUCCCACAGCUGUUUACAUACGAACAAAACAAGACCAUCCCUACAAUUAAAAGACAUGACACACAAGGGAAAAGGGACAAGGAGGAAAGAGGAAGAUCAGAAUCACAACUUGGGCAUCCAUUUCUAAACGGCUGUUCCAGAAAUGACCAGCUGGUCUAGGAAGUGCCUGAUGGAGCUGGGCUUUCAGAAAGCUGAUGGAAGGACCCCUCUGCUUCCCAUCUCUCCCACAGAGGCAACCCUGAUGGGGUUGGCCUACCAUAGCAGAGUCGGUGAAGUGAGUCCUGCUUUCUGUAUUCUUCACUCCCUCAGCAAGCCCCCUGUGUGUGCUCACGCUCAGACCCCCUUCCCAACAAGAGGUAUUUUCCCCCCUCGGUGGUGCUGGUAGGCUUGUCAAAGGCUGACCUGAGCAAAAGGUUAGUUAGCUGAGUGGAGGCCAAAGGGUUGCUGGGUGAAGGGAAUUGCGGGGCUGGGGUGGGGGGAGGAAUUGUGAAAGGACCGGGCUGCGGUGUAGACGGCACAUUGAUUAACGAAGCCCCACCAAAGCAGUUCCAUUGCCAACGACCUGCUUAAUUCACAAAACUCUUAAUUGUUCCAGAGUUGGUUCAGUAUUCCUUCUCCCCCCAACUCCUCAUACAAAGAUGCCAUUGUGUGUCGUGGUGAUGACAGCGUUGUUUUUUGGGCCAGAGAGAGAGAAAGUGAAGAAAGAAAACUCUUGCCGGGGGGGGGGGGACGUCUCCCAACAGGGUGAAGAGGUUUAAAUCAGCUUAGCCCAAAUGCCAAUUAAUAAGGAAGAGGAUUAGCCUCUGAGAUCUAUGGAAUAGAGCAUCAUUGUAUUCCUGGGAGGCUGUGGAAUUUUAUUUCCCUUUCCUACAACUUGGCUGCGCUCGUAUUUUCCUCCCCAACAACAGCCAACUGCUUUUCUUGACCUCAUGUAGCUUAUGGAGUUGGAGCCACAAUGUGCCUCUGUGGGUUCUGCCAUGGUCCAGUCUAAUCAUUUAUAUGGUUCUGCAGUCGUUUACCUGGGGAUGAUGGGAACUGUAGUCCAGCACACCUGGAAGGCACCAGCAAGUUGAAUGCAGAUUCAUCUUCUUCACACGGGACUUAGUUGAACUAUGGAACUCUCAGCCACUUGAGGGAGUGAUGGCCAGCAAACUGGAUAGCUUUAAAAGAAGGCUAUGCUCUGACUUUGCAGUUAGAGGAAGCAGUUCCUCCGAAUCCCAUUUGCUGGAAACUGCAGGGGGGCAGAGGGCAGCCACAGGCAUCUGGGCAGCCACUGUGAGAACAGGAUGCUGGACUAGAUGGGCCAUUGGCCUGAUCCAGCAAGCUCUUCUUAUGUCCUUAACCCUAUUUUAAAAAGAACUUUAUGCUAGAGAUCUGUGAAUAUAUGUGUGCAUUUUGUCCUCAAAGAAGGAUCCAAAUAUUGCAUGGCGGAGAGCCAAACUCUGUGCAGAAUGCCAUUAUGAGAGUGAAUUUUAUUUUCUGUUAUUUUGCAUAGAUUUAUUUGGCUUCUGGGAGACUGCAGAGAGGCUUUGCAAGCUGGACAGUUCCAAGCGUGUCUCUUAAUAUUUGUUGCUACAGCAUAAUGACCCUAAGGCUCAUAUUCCAUCCCUCUCUUUACACUGGAUGACUGAUGAAGCUCCUAAACUCCACUGGCUAGUGUAGCAUUGCUUCCCCUCGCUGAUAGCAGGCCUGGCUGAACUCUUAAAAAGAGCCACCAUCCAACUUGAUCCACUGGGGACUGAACCUUGGAAAGCCUUCAGCAUGUGCUCUGUGGACUGAUCCGUGAAGCUGACAUGUUCUGAGUCAGGCAGUUGGCAGCUGCUUUGAGGCAGAGAGAGAGAGAGAGAGAGAGAGAGAGAGAGAGAGAGAGAGAGGAAGGAAAAAAACUCUUACCCAGUCACUUUAACUGGAGACAGGGCCGGACCACUCGUGAGGCAGUGGCCUCAGAAGAAGAAGAAGAAGAGUUUGGAUUUUAUAUCCCGCUUUAUCACUACCCUAAGGAGUCUCAAAGCGGCUAACAAUCUCCUUUCCCUUCCUCCCCCACAACAAACACUCUGUGAGGUGAGUGGGGCUGAGAGACUUCAAAGAAGUGUGACUGGCCCAAGGUCACUCAGCAGCUGCAUAUGGAGGACUGGGGAAUCGAACCUGGUUCACCAGAUUACGAGUCCACUGCUCUUAACCACUACACCACACUGGCUCUCCUCAGAACAGCAUGCUCCACACAGUUGGGAGAGCAGCAGAUCUGCCUCUUGCGCUUGUCGGCCUAUUCUUCCUUUAUGGAGGUGCCCCAGCCUAGCAUUUUUUGCUUUGCCUCUAGCAGGAAAAUUUCCUGGGCUGGCCCUGACAGGAGACUUCAGAGAUACAGCCUGGGACUUCCCACUGAACUAUGGGUUCUGACAUACGAUGAUGCCUUUGACCUGGUCUACACAUAUGAAAGAGCAUAGUUUUCAGUGUUCCCGUAAGAGGAAAACCUGCUCAGCAGGAAGCAGGCUAGGUUCUCUCUCCCUGGUGUGCUAGUACUCUACUUGCAGGGAUUUUAUACAGGGGAAAUGGCACCUCGGCUUGCACUGGUGCCAGCCUAGUCUACCACUUCAAAUUUUCACUGUCUUUCCCUACCCCUGCAUAUGUUCACGGGGCCUUGUACUGAGUCAGGCACUGCGAGCUGAAGAGAUGCUAGGAAUUGUAAGAGAAGCAUACACUGGGUCACUAAAGUUAUGGCCCCCUUCCCUUCAGAACAAGUCCCAUUGCAUGUGGCAUAAAAGUAACGCAAAAGAUUUUGGCUCCAUUCUGUUAGAGCAGAUCCAGCUUGGUGGUGUUAUGGGAAAGUUGUGUGUCCACUAAAACAGCACAUCUAAGGGCUCAUCCACACUUCUGCUUGUGCGUUGCCAAGGAAGCAUGGGUCCAAGCAGUUUUCCUCUUGCCCCCUUCCUUUCCAAGGGAAAACCUGCUCUUUAGCAAUAGAUCGGAACAACUGACAAUGGAGGGGAAAGGUGAAUUGCUGUUUGUUCCAACUGUGUGUUAAAGAGCGGUUUUCCCUGGGGGGAAAGGAGCAGGAGAAGAGGAAGUGUGGAUAAGCCCUAAGAUUUGGAACGCUGCAUCCGCAUUGCAUAUUUGGGAUGAUUUCAAAGUGGUGUAAGUGUCAUGGCUUCCGCUGCCCACCAAAUCGAUGUGACAUCAUUCUGUAAGUCCUCGUGGGGCUGGGAAAUAAGAACAUAGGAAGACCUGGCUACUGGCCCAAAGGCUCAUCUAGUCCAGCAUCCAGCUUCCCACACUGGCCAACCAGAUGUCCAUGGCAAGCCCACAGGCAGGACCUGAUUGCAAUAGCAGCGCCCUCUCCACUUCUGAUUCUCAACAACUUGCAUGGAGGUAGUGCACAGCCAUCAUGGCUAGUAGCCAUGGAUAGCCUUAUAGAUAAACUCAGAAUUAUAGAGUUGGAAGGGAUCCAAAGGGUCAUCUAGCCGAACCCCCUGCAAUGCAGGAAUCACAGCUAAAGAACCCUUGGCAGAAUCACCCUCCACCCAUUUGUCUAAUCCCCUUGUAAAGCUGUCUUGAGUUGCUUUACAACUACAUCCUGUGUCACUGAAUCCCACAGAUUAACUGUAGAAGCUCUUCCUGUUUUUUUGGUCCUGAACCUUCCCACGUCCAGCUUCAUUUGGAUGUCCCCGUUGGGUUUUAGCAUUACAAGAGAAGGGGAGAGAAAGAGAAGAGGAAAGAGCAUUGAGGCUCUCCUGUAAAAAGCACCCAUGCCACUAGUGCAUGAAUGGCCAGAACAUCUUUGCCCAAGAUGUUGGAGGAGAUGGCUCGGCUGUUGUAGCUGCCGUGUAAUUUAUGACAGGGGUUUGCGCCAUUGUCUGGGUCCCUCCUGUAUUUUCGUGAGGGCUCUGCCUCUCUUCCCAGACCCCUGCUGCGCCCUGGCUACUGUACGGUUGCUAAGGGACAUGUCAUGUUGUCUAUCACUAUGCGGGGAGGUGGGGACGGCCUUCAGUGGGCCCAUCUGGAGCCUGAGGCCUACAUCCCCACAGGCGGGACUGAUCGUGGCCCCAAGAAGUACAGAGGGCCUGGGAAUGGGACAUUUAGAUUCCCCUCAAGUUCAUGGCCACCGGAGGCCUUUGGUUCUCAAGGGUGGGUGAGGAGGGGUGAAGAGUGGAUUGUUGGCUGUUCUGCUCAGGGUUUUCUGGGUUUUCCCCCCCUCCCCCCCUCAAUUCCGUCCGUAUCCUCGCCUGCAUACUGAUCCCCCCGGCCUAUUCUCCUCCCGACAUGUGCCCACAUAAAUAAAUUACCCCCACUGCUUCCAUUUUGCGGAACAAUUGGCCCCCUAAACUCUAUUCAUCUCCAGACAGCGCCUAUUAUUCCCCCGAUUAAAGCCAACAGAAUGGUUUGCAAGGGAUACUGUUAACUCUGUCAAACUGUAAAUAAGAUGCUAAUAUAAAAAUAAAUAAGGGAGAGUGAGAGAGAGAGGGAGGGAGUUGGUUAGCACGGAGGGCUUGCGAGGUGGGGAGAAAACGGAGAAGGGACAAAGAGAGGGAGACUUCUGCGCCUGCCGCCUUGGGAAAGCAAAUGAAUCUGUAAUGACCACUGUGUACAAACUGCAGGAGAUAAUAUAAUGGCAGCCCUUGCGAGCACUUGGGGCUGUUUUCACCGAGGCCUGUUUAUUAUGAAAGCCUCAUUGAGACCUUGGUUGUAUAAAUGGCAAUGUUGCCAGUGGGGACCUUCUCCCUAUCCACUCCUCCUCAGCCUGAUUCGCCACCUCUCCAGAUAACGCCUGGCAAAGGCUGGGGUUUUAAAGGAUUGGGGAAUUGUUUCCUUUUUUCAUUUUGACUCCAUGCACCCAAUUCCUAGCAUUUAAUACCACACGAUACACUGGAAUGAAGAAUUAUAGGCAUUUGACUGAUCAGUUGAACAUCAUGGAUUUUCUUCCGCAACCAGAAGGGCAAGAUUUCAGCUGGGGCUCCUCCUGCCUCCUUCCACCCUUUGGGACUCCCUCUUCUGCUCAGGGGUGGGAGGAGAAACUAAGUUCAGUUUACAUUCAAAGGCAAUCCUACAAAAUUUGCACUUUCUGAACGAAUGCAUAAAAACCAGAAAUGCAGCCAUCCCCCAUCCAAAUUCACACUUCUAUGAAUUUUGCAACAAAGCCCUCCAUCCCAAGUAAUUUGUUGUUUUGUUUAUUAACUAAACUUAUUUGUUUAUUGUCACGCAAGGGUCUCCAAGUGAUUUACAGUGCAUAAGAUCUAAAACAAUAAAAAGGGAAGUAUCAUAUUGCAUGCAACGUAUUCGGAAAACAGAAACAAAAUACCAGCCCCCUCCCAAAAAAGUAAUAGAAACUAUUAGCAACAAUAAACACAGCAAUGCUCCCACCUACUUACCAGCAGAGAAACAACAUCUAAGGAUCAACCCCCAGACCAUUCACAUUAACCCAUCUCCCCCUUCUCAUCUCCCCAAACAACCCAGAAGUCCAGUGUCAAGGCCAGCUGCUGUAAAUCGGUGGUGGGUGGGUCUUCCAGGGAUUGUCUGGCAUCUCUCCUUUCAGUGGAAUUGGAGGUUUUACAACAGAGGUUGGGUGGCCUUUUAUCAGGGAUUUGUUAGUUGUGGUUCCUGCAUCUGCAGGGGCUUGGACUAGAGCAGCCUUUCUCAACCUGUGGGUCCCCAGAUGUUGUUGAACUACAACUCCCAUCACCCCUAACUAGCAAGGCCAGAGCUCAGGGAUGAUGGGAGUUGUAAUCCAACAACAUCUGGGGACCCACAGGUUGAGAACCGCUGGACUAGAGGAUCCUUGAAGUCCCUUCCAAUUCAGGGAGAGUAGCAGCAAAAGCCAACCAGGAAGAUGGUUCAAGGGUUUACCUGCUCUUCAGUUGCUCCUGUUGUAACGUACAAAGAUGCAUUAUAUUUGGGGGAAUUGCUUUGCACUUGUGUGUGUAUAUUAGGAGGAAUCUCCACUGCUGAUGAAUUUUGGUGGUGACUUUUUAAGAAAGCAAACACUUGCAGACCAAUAUGGAAAUGUUGGCGAAAGGGAUUGCAAAAAUGAGAAACUGGAAUGGAUGGAUUUGCCACCCCUACUUCUGUUCUUAAGUCCACAUUAAUCUAAAGCGUCUAGACAGGCACGCAUGAAAAAUGGUCAGAACUAUGUUCAUCAAGCAUUUAAUUAAUUAAUACACAUACCCCCACCCUUUCCCCAAAGAGCUCAAGGUGGCCUAUACAGUUCUUCCCCUUCUCCAUUUUAACCUCACAACAAUCCUGUGAAGUAGGUUAGGUCGAGAGGGCUAGCAGCCACUGACACCCUUCUUCUCCAUGAAUUUGUCUAAUCCUCUUUUAAAGCCAGCCAAGUUGAUGGCCACCACUGCUUCCCGUGGGAGCAAGUUCCAUAGUUGAAAUUAUAUGCUGUGUGAAGAAGGAUUUCAAUUCAUAUGUCCUGUUCUGAUGAAGGUAGGAUUUUGCCCAGUGGUCGAUGGCUCCCCAUUCAGUAGUGAGGGACCAAGACUGCAAUCUGGGAGAACUGACAGUGGGCAAAACCUGCUCUUUGUCCUGGAAACCAAAGGCAAGUUUAGAAACCUUGAGGAACCCUGGUGUACUCUUCCUGUAUCAGUAGCAUCUCCUUAACUCCUGGGAAGGAAAGCGUUGCCACGUAGUGGGGGCAGAAUAUGACCUCAACCAACAGGAACAUGCCUCUGUGGACACUUCCUUUCCUGCUGUGCCUUUGCAAACCUGCAGAGGUGGAGAAUCUGUGGUCCUCCAGCUGCUCUUGAACUCCUUACACCCUCCUGCCCCAACCAGCUUUGUCUGUGGGCAGGAACAGAGGCAGUUUUAGCCCAACAGUAUCUCGGUGGCCACCCCACUUUGCAGGCACUUCCCUCCCCGUAAAGACAGGUUCAUCACCAGCUGAUAAAGAAACAAGACAUCACAAUUAUAUGCAGGUUGUCCAUGAAAGGGAAUUAUUAAGCGUUGCUCGUUCCAAUGACUGCAGCCAGAAAGAGUCUGAGAAAUAAGCCCCUUCAUUAUAAUUAUUCGGAUUUGCCCUCCAUCAAAGGCUGGGUGGGGGGAUUGAGCCUUUUAAUCUGACCACAUGCUUCUGCUUUGGGGAUCUCGACUGGUUUGUACCACCUGCUUCCAACUCCAUGUGCCUUUUGGUAAAAACCUUGGCAAUUUUAUAAGGGAGGCAUGGUGUGUGUGUGUGUGUGUGUGUGUGUGUGUGUGUGUGUUCUCCCCUGUUUGUUUGUUUUUUAAAUAAGAAAAUAAUGUCAUUUAAUUUGAAAAAAGUAAUAAAUAAGGCUAGGAUGUGGCUAGUUAGGUGCAAAUGCAUUUGCUCCUGAGAGGACACAGUUCUGUCACUGCCGACCAUACCCUUUGCCACCUCAGCAUCCUCCAGAUGUUUUGGAAUUCAGCUCCCAUAAGACCCUGCAUCCUAAAGCUGGGCUGAUGGGAGUUGUGGUCUAAAACCAUCUGGAGGACACCAGGAUGGCAAAGACAUAGGUCAGUCUUUGCCAUUCUGCUUUCCUCCAGAUAGAAAUAUCAAUAGUAGAUGUUUACAGCUGGGCUAGGAUUUUAGUGUGGGAUACAGGUGUGCAAUUGUGGAAAGUCUAGAUGGCAUCAAAGUACCAUCUGGAUCAUUUGUGGCCUGCCAGAUACUUAUGAUUCAAGCCUGGAGGCCUUCAUACGAGGACUGAAAUAGUUUCACCCAUUCAUCUAACUUCGUUGUUCCAAUAUGUAUGUUCUCGUCUGCAUCCUACCCCCCUGGGAUUCCAUAUUAACUUGGAGAAAUUCUAAAAUUGAUUUUUGCCAAGGAUUCUUGAAUACCAGUUCUUGGGAAGCCAUAGAAGGGGAGAGGGCUCUGGUGCUCAAAUCCUGUUUGCAGGUUUCCCACAGACAUCUCGUUGACCAUUGUGAGAACAGGAUGCUGGACUAAAUGGGCCAUUGGCCUGAUAGCCAGCAGGCCCUCCCUAAGUUCUCACGGAAAUGUUACCUUGGUACGGUAGUUUCUAAACUCACUCACACAUCCCUCUCUGUCCUCCCAUCCAGACUAGCAAGUUGCAUUAUCAGAGUUCACAGGCAAAAACUUUGAAGGAAGAUGAAUGAACAGGGGAAAACUUUGAAGGAGAGUUUGAAGCAAGACUAGUGGCCUGGGGAAAGGGUGUGUGGGGCUUGGACGUGUCACAAGUGCCAAACUGAGAGUCCUGGAAGUUCCCAACCCUGUUCGAUAAAUGGUCCACUGGCUGCAUCCAGCAUGAUACACACACAAGCGGUGUAAGGGCUUAACCUCCCUCAGUGUUGUUAUUUGAAACAAAAGUGGUAUGGCCUAGAGAUGGCUUUGAAUUUGGUGGCAGGGGCACCAAACCGAAAUGAACAGUCUGUUACAUAAAUUUGUUUUUAAAUCUCUUUCUCUUGCCUCCCCCCCUUCCUCCUUGUCUCCCUCAGGUGGAUGCAGUAUAGAACGACAAAAGCGAUUCUGCAGCAGAUUCUUGCAGCACAACUGCUGAAAACGAUUCCUGUGAUGUCCUUGCAUGUGCUUCAUGAUGGCCAAGCCUGUUUCUUUUUGUCCUUUUUAAUUGGACCAGGACUAUGACGACUUCAAAAAUGCAGCGCUAUUGAAGCAAAGAGGCUUAUGAGUGUCAUUAUUUUUGUAGACCUUGCCUUCGUUGUCGGCGGGGUGUGUGGUUUAAAAGGGG